rnacentral:tRNA from 1 species
CCUUCGAUAGCUCAGUUGGUAGAGCGGAGGACUGUAGAGGCUGCUCGCUGACAUCCUUAGGUCGCUGGUUCGACUCCGGCUCGAAGGA